rnacentral:rRNA from 1 species
ACGGGAGGCAGCAGUCGGGAAUAUUGCGCAAUGGAGGAAACUCUGACGCAGUGACGCCGCGUAUAGGACGAGGGUCUUCGGAUUGUAAACUAUUGUCGUUAGGGAAGAAAAAGGACAGUACCUAAGGAGGAAGCUCCGGCUAACUACGUGCCAGCAGCCGCGGUAAUACGUAGGGAGCAAGCGUUAUCCGGAUUUAUUGGGUGUAAAGGGUGCGUAGACGGGAAUAUAAGUUAGUUGUGAAAUCCCUCGGCUCAACUGAGGAACUGCAACUAAAACUGUAUUUCUUGAGUGCUGGAGAGGAAAGCGGAAUUCCUAGUGUAGCGGUGAAAUGCGUAGAUAUUAGGAGGAACACCAGUGGCGAAGGCGGCUUACUGGACGAUAACUGACGUUGAGGCUCGAAAGCGUGGGGAGCAAACAGGAUUAGAUACCCUGGUA